AGCCAGUAUUAGAGGCACUGCCUGCCCAGUGACUUAAUCGUUAAACGGCCGCGGUAUCUUGACCGUGCAAAGGUAGCAUAAUCACUUGUUCUCUAAAUAAGGACUUGUAUGAAUGGCCACACGAGGGUUUUACUGUCUCUUACUUUUAAUCAGUGAAAUUGACCUCCCCGUGAAGAGGCGGGGAUAAUAAAAUAAGACGAGAAGACCCUAUGGAGCUUUAAUUAAUCAACUCAAAAAUCAGAAAACAAUACCACUAAGGGAUAACAGAAUUUAUAUGAGUUGACAAUUUCGGUUGGGGUGACCUCGGAGCACAAAAAACCCUCCGAGUGAUUAAAACCUAGGCCUACUAGCCAAAGUGUAAUAUCACUUAUUGAUCCAAAUUUUUGAUCAACGGAACAAGUUACCCUAGGGAUAACAGCGCAAUCCUAUUCUAGAGUCCAUAUCGACAAUAGGGUUUACGACCUCGAUGUUGGAUCAGGACAUCCUAAUGGUGCAGCAGCUAUUAAGGGUUCGUUUGUU
rnacentral:rRNA from 1 species